CUCUCUCGAAUAUAUCAACCUCGUAAGUGUACAUAUAUAUAUAUAUAUAGUUGCAAUGGGUUGGGAUGAAAGAAGUGGAAGAUAAAUUAAUGAGUAGGGCCAAAGGGUUGCAGCAAAGAGAAGCCAAGUUUAUGGCAAACACUAAUGGAGAUAUAAUAAUGAUGAUACAUCUGACAUGUUCAUCGAUAUCUUGCCCAUAAGUCUAGGGAGAUGAGCUUGUGAAAAGGUGAGUGGGGACGUGGCAGGGCAGGUAGCAGCAGAAGCAAAGUCGUCUAUGAAAGAGAGGAAGAAAUUGGAUGCUGGUUUUGCCCAUUUUUGAAUCAGAAAUUCCUGUUUGUACAAACUUCUUCUUCUUCUUUUUUUGUUUUUUGUAUUAAUUUAUGUAUUUAUGUUUGAAAUGAUUUGCGUUGUUUUGCUUCUCACAUGUCACUUUUAAUAAUGUUGUCCCCACUCAAUAUCUCAUCCCACAUGUCAUCCUCACUCAUGUUACUUGAUUCAAAUUACUUUUAACUCAAAAUAGUAAAAUUUACUUA